AGCGAACGCUGGCGGCAGGCCUAACACAUGCAAGUCGAACGAACCUUUCGGGGUUAGUGGCGGACGGGUGAGUAACACGUGGGAACGUGCCUUUAGGUUCGGAAUAACUCAGGGAAACUUGUGCUAAUACCGAAUGUGCCCUUCGGGGGAAAGAUUAAUCGCCUUUAGAGCGGCCCGCGUCUGAUUAGCUAGUUGGUUGAGGUAAUGGCUCACCAAGGCGACAAUCAGUAGCUGGUCUGAGAGGAUGAUCAGCCACAUUGGGACUGAGACACGGCCCAAACUCCUACGGGAGGCAGCAGUGGGGAAUCUUGCGCAAUGGGCGAAAGCCUGACGCAGCCAUGCCGCGUGAAUGAUGAAGGUCUUAGGAUUGUAAAAUUCUUUCACCGGGGACGAUAAUGACGGUACCCGGAGAAGAAGCCCCGGCUAACUUCGUG
rnacentral:rRNA from 1 species